rnacentral:lncRNA from 1 species
AAUCUUAGUUCGUAUAUGGUUUUGUUGAAGUUUGGUCAUAGGAAUUAAAACCAAUUUGGAUUAUUUGAUUAGUUGUUUGUUUCGAAAACCACUUGUGCAUUAAUUAUAUAGUAACUACAACUAGCAAAUGUUGUGCUAUAACUAUUUUGCUAUAAUUAGUUAUCAAAGGUACCAGGCUUUUAUUUAAUACGCCAGACGCGC